GAUGAACGCUAGCGGGAGGCUUAAUACAUGCAAGUCGAACGGUAAGGUCUAGCUUGCUAGAUACACGAGUGGCGAACGGGUGAGUAACGCGUACACUACCUACCUUUAACAGAGGGAUAGCCCUGGGAAACUGGGAUUAAUACCUCAUAGUAUUGUGAUAUAACUAUUGCAAUUAAAGCUCCGGCGGUUAAAGAUGGGUGUGCGUCCUAUUAGCUAGUUGGUAAGGUAACGGCUUACCAAGGCGACGAUAGGUAGGGGGCGUGAGAGCGUGAUCCCCCACACGGGUACUGAGACACGGACCCGACUCCUACGGGAGGCAGCAGUAAGGAAUAUUGGACAAUGGGGGAAACCCUGAUCCAGCCAUCCCGCGUGCAGGAUGAAUGCCCUAUGGGUUGUAAACUGCUUUUAUAUGGGAAGAACAGGCUUCAUUUAUGAGGCUAUGACGGUACCAUAGGAAUAAGCACCGGCUAACUCCG
rnacentral:rRNA from 1 species